rnacentral:lncRNA from 11 species
CUGGUCCCCUUCUUGAGAAAUUGUUUGUGAUCCUGCAAGUAAGAAGACUUCUGUCCCCAUCCAUACUUCGCGUUCUCCUUUUGCCACAACUAAGUUCACUGAAUUUUACUGAGUGUGCAUCUUAUGUUGGCAAUAAUCUUGCCCACACCAUCACAGUACGCUGCAAGAAAACCCAUGCCCAAAAGGAAAAUCAUUCCCUUGUUGGAGAAACUAUGCCUGGAGAAUGUGGUUACAAAUAUGAAAAGGCUAUGGGUUAGAGUUUACUUGAUGAAGUUACUUGACCCUACGAAUCGUGACCAUGACACCAUCACAGGACCCUUCAGCAUGCUGGCUGGCUCCCUUCUCCAGGAUCUGCUUGAGAUCAUGCGAGAGAGAAGACUUCUGACCCCAUCCAUACUUCACAUUCUCCUUUUGCCACAACUAAAGUCACUGAAUUUGAAUUACUGCUCAUAUUAUGUUGACAACACUCUUGUCCAAACCAUCACAGUACGCUGCAAGCUUUUACCUGAUGCAGGACAAUGUGGAGAAUUCUUUCCCUGCAAAGCUUGGAUCUGGUCUGAUGGUUCUCUCUUACAACUCCAAAAGCUUUCCUUGGUACAAGAUGACAUAUCCAUGGACACUAUUGACCUUCUGCUGUCCUCCAAGGAUGAAUUGAAUUUUCUCAAGAUAGUCACCUGCUCAAAAAUCUGAGACAGAUUUGGAGAAGGUCCUCCAGAAAGUAGUCAAGGAAAACCUUGAUCUGAAUGUUGUGUGGGAAUGAAAAUCCAGGUCUUCUCUUAUAUUCAUAUCCCAGUUCCCAAUACCUAGAAACCUUAAGUUUGUUUUUAAAUGUUCUUCCUAGAUGAAGCUUUUCAGAAGAUGUAACAUCUUUUGGAACUGCCCUACUGCAGUUUUGGAACCUAUUCUUUGUUUGAAUUGUAGUAGUUUCCUGUUGUCCUCAAAGAAUCAUUUGAAAUCUUUCAAGUUGAACAUGUGCUUAGACAGAUUACAUGGAGGUAUUUAUGUCCUCAGAACAAAACAAAAAAACCUCCCCUCCAGCCUGCAAUGGCAGGUCCACUUCUGUUGUGAGCAAAAUAGUGUUUCUUGUUUUAUAUUUUAAUAAAGUUGAGUUUACAUAAUG